rnacentral:rRNA from 1 species
UACGUAGGGUGCAAGCGUUGUCCGGAAUCAUUGGGCGUAAAGAGCGUGUAGGCGGCUCGAUUAGUCCGCUGUAAAAGUCCAAGGGCUCAACCCUGGGAUGCCCGGUGGAAACUGUCGGGCGUAGAGUCCGGGAGAGGCGAGUGGAAUUCCUGGUGGUAGCGGUGAAAUGCGCAGAUAUCAGGAGGAACACCAAUGGCGAAGGCAGCUCGCUGGAACGGUACUGACGCUGAGACGCGAAAGCGUGGGGAGCAAACAGG